rnacentral:tRNA from 1 species
CCGACUAGUUCCGGGUUCGA